rnacentral:rRNA from 1 species
AGAGUUUGAUCCUGGCUCAGGAUGAACGCUAGCGGCGGGCUUAAUACAUGCAAGUCAAGGGGUAGCAAUACACCGGCGUACGGGUGCGUAACGCGUAUGGAACCUGCCCUUAUCUGGGGGAUAACUCGGGGAAACUCGAGCUAAUACCGCAUAAGAUAGUAGAAUGGCAUCAUUCAGCUAUUAAAGAUUUAUUGGAUAAGGAUGGCCAUGCGUAAGAUUAGAUAGUUGGCGAGGUAACGGCUCACCAAGUCUACGAUCUUUAGGGGCUCUGAGAGGAGAAUCCCCCACACUGGCACUGAGAUACGGGCCAGACUCCUACGGGAGGCAGCAGUAGGGAAUAUUGGGCAAUGGGCGGAAGCCUGACCCAGUCACGCCGCGUGCAGGAAGACGGCCCUCUGGGCUGUAAACUGCUUUUAACUGGGAAGAAAAGAGGCCUUGCGAGGCAAGUUGACGGUACCAGUUGAAUAAGCCACGGCUAACUACGUGCCAGCAGCCGCGGUAAUACGUAGGUGGCGAGCGUUAUCCGGAUUUAUUGGGUUUAAAGGGAGCGUAGGCGGCUGAUUAAGUCAGCGGUGAAAGGUAGCAGCUUAACUGUUUUACAUGCCGUUGAUACUGGUUAGCUUGAGUUGACAGAA